AGUGUACAAAGUUUACCUUCCCAAAAUGAAUCGCUGAAUUGCAAAAGAAAGUUGAGUGAAAUGAAAAAUUAUGAAAUGAAAAAAAUGCUUUUUGCUCUUAAGUGACUUUAACAAAUGAAUUCGUAAUAUGUACUGUGUUCUAUUUAGAUGUUUGUUUCUUUUAUCUAGCUAGUCGUAUCUAAUUUUUUUUAUAACUUCUUUGUGCAUUCCUUCAGCAGAAGAUAUUAAUGUAUAUAAAAUGUUUUAAUUAUAAUAAAUAGCUGGCUGUCAUGUUGUAUAUAAUAUUUUUUACGAAAAUAAAAUGUUAAAUCAUUAUUUUGAAUUUUUUUCUUAUCAAUGUUUUGGGUAUAUAACCUCUUAAAGGUGUAAAAAAUUAACAAAGACCAAAAGACCUGACCAUGCUGCCUAUGCACACUGUUUUCCUGAAUUGUUAUCGUUGCAUUAAACAAAAUUUUUACUUCUAAAAGGCGAUUAGUUAAUAAACUCAUUCAUUUCAGACACGAGGUCUGAACAUAUAUAGUGAUAAUCCUAAAGCAUGAAUAAUAAUGUAGUAGAACAAUGUAAAAAAAUGAUCACUCAAGCUGCAGCGAUACUUUUCUGGGUUUUUUUUUGUGUAUCGUAUGGACUGUAAAUUAUAACACUAUCUUGCUGGAUAAGCGACGAUUAAAAUGGCUGCAGUGCAUUGUUUACUGUAAGAUUGAGUGGCAAUCAUCACAUUUAAGGAUACUAUUGUAAAUGCAACAAAGCAGGAGAGUGAGUGCAAGAUUGAAUGUGAGGGUAAUCCUGACAUGGCAGCAGUAGU